AGAGUUUGAUCCUGGCUCAGGAUGAACGCUAGCGACAGGCUUAACACAUGCAAGUCGAGGGGCAGCGGGGUGUGGCAACACACUGUCGGCGACCGGCGCACGGGUGAGUAACGCGUAUGCAACUUGCCUAUCAGAGGGGGAUAACCCGGCGAAAGUCGGACUAAUACCGCAUAAAACAGGGGUCCCGCAUGGGGAUAUUUGUUAAAGAUUCAUCGCUGAUAGAUAGGCAUGCGUUCCAUUAGGCAGUUGGCGGGGUAACGGCCCACCAAACCGACGAUGGAUAGGGGUUCUGAGAGGAAGGUCCCCCACAUUGGUACUGAGACACGGACCAAACUCCUACGGGAGGCAGCAGUGAGGAAUAUUGGUCAAUGGCCGGGAGGCUGAACCAGCCAAGUCGCGUGGAGGACGAAGGUCCUAUGGAUUGUAAACUUCUUUUGUGCGGGAAUAAAGUCGGGGACGCGUCCCCGUUUGCAUGUACCGUACGAAUAAGCAUCGGCUAACUCCGUGCCAGCAGCCGCGGUAAUACGGAGGAUGCGAGCGUUAUCCGGAUUUAUUGGGUUUAAAGGGUGCGUAGGUCGCCGAUUAAGUCAGCGGUGAAAUCCAGUGGCUCAACCAUCGGACUGCCGUUGAAACUGGCCGGCUUGAGUAUGAUUGAGGCAGGCGGAAUGCGUGGUGUAGCGGUGAAAUGCAUAGAUAUCACGCAGAACCCCGAUUGCGAAGGCAGCUUGCCAAGCCAUGACUGACACUGAAGCACGAAAGCGUGGGUAUCAAACAGGAUUAGAUACCCCUGGUAGUCCACGCAGUAAACGAUGAUUACUAAGGAGUUUGCGAUACAAGUGUAAGCUCCACAGCCGAAAGCGUUAAGUAAUCCACCCUGGGGGAGUACGCCCGGCAACGGGUGAAACUCCAAAAGGAAUUUGACGGGGGGCCCGCACAAACCGGAGGAACAAAGGUGGGUUUAAAUCCAAUGAUAACGCGAGGGAACCUUUCCCCCGGGGUUUGAAACCAAGGCGGGAACGGGGGGGCGGGAAAACGCCCCUUUUCCACCCAAUGGGCCGCCCUGCGAGGUGCUGCAUGGUUGUCGUCAGCUCGUGCCGUGAGGUGUCGGCUUAAGUGCCAUAACGAGCGCAACCCCUGCCGCCAGUUACUAGCAGGUAAUGCUGAGGACUCUGGCGGGACUGCCAGCGUAAGCUGCGAGGAAGGCGGGGAUGACGUCAAAUCAGCACGGCCCUUACAUCCGGGGCGACACACGUGUUACAAUGGCGUGGACAAAGGGCGGCGACUUGGCGACAAGGAGCAAAUCCCCAAACCACGUCUCAGUUCGGAUCGGAGUCUGCAACCCGACUCCGUGAAGCUGGAUUCGCUAGUAAUCGCGCAUCAGCCAAGGCGCGGUGAAUACGUUCCCGGGCCUUGUACACACCGCCCUAA
rnacentral:rRNA from 1 species